rnacentral:rRNA from 1 species
GAUGAACGCUGGCGGCGUGCUUAACACAUGCAAGUCGAACGGAAACUUGAUGAAACCUAGUGAUUUAAGUUUUAGUGGCGGACGGGUGAGUAACGCGUGGAGAACCUGCCCUGUACUGGGGGAUAACAGUGAGAAAUCACUGCUAAUACCGCAUAAGCGCACGGAGCCGCAUGGCCCAGUGUAGAAAAACUCCGGUGGUACAGGAUGGCUCCGCGUUGGAUUAGCCAGUUGGCGGGGUAACGGCCCACCAAAGCGACGAUCCAUAGCCGGCCUGAGAGGGUGAACGGCCACAUUGGGACUGAGACACGGCCCAGACUCC